GCGAAGAUAGUGCAGUUGAUUAAGCACGCUUUCCGGAAAAGGUUGAAUGUGAGUUCGAGUCUCGCCUGAAGUCAAGCUUUUGCA